UGGGGAAUAUUGCACAAUGGGCGCAAGCCUGAUGCAGCCAUGCCGCGUGUGUGAAGAAGGCCUUCGGGUUGUAAAGCACUUUCAGCGGGGAGGAAGGCGAUAAGGUUAAUAACCUUGUCGAUUGACGUUACCCGCAGAAGAAGCACCGGCUAACUCCGUGCCAGCAGCCGCGGUAAUACGGAGGGUGCAAGCAUUAAUCGGAAUUACUGGGCGUAAAGCGCACGCAGGCGGUCUGUCAAGUCGGAUGUGAAAUCCCCGGGCUCAACCUGGGAACUGCAUUCGAAACUGGCAGGCUAGAGUCUUGUAGAGGGGGGUAGAAUUCCAGGUGUAGCGGUGAAAUGCGUAGAGAUCUGGAGGAAUACCGGUGGCGAAGGCGGCCCCCUGGACAAAGACUGACGCUCAGGUGCGAAAGCGUGGGGAGCAAACAGG
rnacentral:rRNA from 1 species